AGAAGGACCUAGCUGCCUUAAGGAGGAAGGGUAAAGGAGCUGGGGAGCUCCAGCCUGGCAACUCCUCAGGCUGAGGCCUUGGUUAAGGCCUACAAAGGACCUCUGGGAAACAUUCCAUCUUCUCUAGCCCUGGAGAAAUCCCAUAGUACGGUCCAACUGCUUGAGCUGUCUGCUUGGAUAGGGGUCUGGGCCUAAGACAGCACUUUGCAAGAUUCUUUGAGAACCAGAAGAGCUGUGGCCUUCACAAUGGAUAAGUACCACUUCUGAAACUUCUAUGGAUUAAUGGGGGCUCUGCACAUGCACCGAGGACAGACCACAUAGCUCAUACAAAUGAGCUUGGAAAAAAAAGAAAUAGGGACAACCUAAGGAUUUUUUAAAAAUGAAACCAGAGUUAAGCUAUGACACUUAAAGGUUCCCCAAAAUCAGCAGAUUCACAGCAAAGGUCCUUAUAGACCCUGAAGUGUCUCUCUGGGUUGAAGCCAUUCCAGGAGAGCAAGCUCUUUUCCCCUGUUGGUGCAUCUUAAUCAUGGAAAUAACCUGACCAGUUUGGAGAAGACUGCCCGAAACUGGAAUGGGACUAUUUUUGAGUGUUAAAACAUUUGGUUAACUUUUCCCAUUGCUUCUUCUCACUUUCACAUUUCCUCUUCACUCCUCAUUUUCAUCUAAGGUUGGAGAAUGAAAGUGCUGAUCUGGUAUGACAACGAGACUGUUCUCACACUAUUUCCAGCCCUGUUUUGCACACUGUUGUGAGGGGGCAUGGCCUCCUUCCAAGACUGACAGGGAGGGACGGCCACGGACCACUACACAGACAAUGAGGUUCAGACAAACAGCUAAGUUUUUGGAUGCCAAUCUAAACUAAACAUGAACUCUGAACCACCUGGGGUUGGCAAUCCCCUUAUAGUAAUUCACAGUCAUGUCUGUACAGUGCCUAGCACAACAGGGCCAUGAACCUUGCCAUUACUGCACUAUAAACAAUAAUAAUACUUUGAGAUCUUGUAUCAAAGCCACUAUGGAAGAGCAAAGAGCUUUACAGCUGUUAAGUUUACACUCAGCAAAACUAAGGAGAGGGUGUGGGAAUAGUGUUUAAGCCACCUUUCCACAUCUGUGAACCUGAGCCAUAUACAGCCUG